GGCGGGGCCUACAUGUCGCGCAAGUCUCCGGAGGGCCAUUCCGAGGCGGGGCCCGCUCCAGCGUCCUCAUUGGAGCGGGCGUCU
rnacentral:sRNA from 1 species